UGCCCCGGGUACGGCGUAAAACUGCGGCCAGCCAGUGGGAUGCGACCCCGUAAAAAAGCGUA
rnacentral:ncRNA from 1 species